rnacentral:rRNA from 1 species
GACGAACGCUGGCGGCGUGCUUAACACAUGCAAGUCGAACGGAAUUAUUUGGAAGCUUGCUUCUGAAUAAUUAGUGGCGGACGGGUGAGUAACGCGUGAGAAACCUGCCUUAUUCAGGGGGAUAACAGUUAGAAAUAGCUGCUAAUACCGCAUAAGACCACAGUACCGCAUGGUACAGGGGUAAAAGAGUUAUGUAUCGGAAUAAGAUGGUCUCGCGUCCUAUUAGCUAGUUGGUGAUGGUAACGGCUCACCAAGGCGACGAUAGGUAGCCGAUCUGAGAGGAUAAUCGGCCACACUGGAACUGAGAUACGGACCAGACUCCUACGGGAGGCAGCAGUGGGGAAUAUUGGGCAAUGGAGGCAACUCUGACCCAGCAACGCCGCGUGAAGGAUGAAGGCCUUAGGGUUGUAAACUUUUGUUGUAGAGGACGAAGAUAGUGACGGUACUCUACGAGGAAGCCCCGGCUAACUAUGUG